GAAAAGGUGUGCUGCUUCUAGGAGGAGGAAGGCAGCGAGUCAAGGAAUGUCCCAUUUUUCAACCACUGACCUUUUUAAGGAAAUGAGUGGGGAUACAGGUGCAGAAAUGGAGAAGAGUGCAGCCUCUGAGGGAGAAGGACUUCUGGAGCCAUCAGGGACAGGCUGGAAAACAGGCUUGGAGGUUUUCUCAUGGACCUGCAGCUGUCACUUGAGUAUUUCCUGCUACUUGCUGACUGCCGGCCUGAAUGAAAAUCCUCCGCGUGAGCUUUCUC